GGCGUGUUUGCUUAAUGGUAAAGUGUUGUGUUUCGGCCACAAGGAUACAAGUUCAAGUCUUGUACACGUCU
rfam:Laccaria amethystina LaAM-08-1 unplaced genomic scaffold K443scaffold_1284, whole genome shotgun sequence.